rnacentral:rRNA from 1 species
UGGGGGAUAUUGCACAAUGGGGGAAACCCUGAUGCAGCGACGCCGCGUGGAGGAAGAAGGUUUUCGGAUUGUAAACUCCUGUCGUUAGGGACGAUAAUGACGGUACCUAACAAGAAAGCACCGGCUAACUACGUGCCAGCAGCCGCGGUAAAACGUAGGGUGCAAGCGUUGUCCGGAAUUACUGGGUGUAAAGGGAGCGCAGGCGGACCGGCAAGUUGGAAGUGAAAACUAUGGGCUCAACCCAUAAAUUGCUUUCAAAACUGCUGGCCUUGAGUAGUGCAGAGGUAGGUGGAAUUCCCGGUGUAGCGGUGGAAUGCGUAGAUAUCGGGAGGAACACCAGUGGCGAAGGCGGCCUACUGGGCACCAACUGACGCUGAGGCUCGAAAGUGUGGGUAGCAAACAGGAUUAGAUACCCUGGUAGUCCACACUGUAAACGAUGAUUACUAGGUGUUGGAGGAUUGACCCCUUCAGUGCCGCAGUUAACACAAUAAGUAAUCCACCUGGGGAGUACGACCGCAAGGUUGAAACUCAAAGGAAUUGACGGGGGCCCGCACAAGCAGUGGAGUAUGUGGUUUAAUUCGACGCAACGCGAAGAACCUUACCAAGUCUUGACAUCCGUUGACCGCUGUAGAAAUACAGUUUUCCUUCGGGACAGCGAGACAGGUGGUGCAUGGUUGUCGUCAGCUCGUGUCGUGAGAUGUUGGGUUAAGUCCCGCAACGAGCGCAACCCUUAUGGUCAGUUACUACGCAAGAGGACUCUGGCCAGACUGCCGUUGACAAAACGGAGGAAGGUGGGGAUGACGUCAAAUCAUCAUGCCCUUUAUGACUUGGGCUACACACGUACUACAAUGGCGUUAAACAAAGAAAAGCAAGACCGCGAGGUGGAGCAAAACUCAGAAACAACGUCCCAGUUCGGACUGCAGGCUGCAACUCGCCUGCACGAAGUCGGAAUUGCUAGUAAUCGUGGAUCAGCAUGCCACGGUGAAUACGUUCCC